AGCUUUUUGAAUCCGUGCUGAGAUUUCGUCAGAUACCAACUGAUAACGGCUGACUAGACUUCAAAGAUAAGUGAAGUU
rfam:Schistosoma curassoni strain Dakar, Senegal genome assembly, scaffold: SCTD_scaffold0001207